CUUUCACCAUGUGAGGACAUAAUGAGGAGGUACCAGCUAUAAGCCAGGAUAAAGGCUCUCCUCCACCCAUGCUGGUGACUUGAUCUUGGGCUUCCCCUUCCAGAAAUAUCCUGAUUUAACUCAGGCCAGUCCUGGGAUGUAUCCAGAAUGCUGAUAAUUUAAGACCAAGGUUUUAUCAGGCCCAGUUGAAGCAUAAAGUGAUGGACUCAGGGUUCAAGGUUCAACAUCUGGCUCUGUCACUUUCAAGCUGGAUAAUCCUGAGAAAGGUGAGCAACAUCAGGAGUAAUUAGCAGAAGCCCAGGAAGAAGUCUUUGGGAUCCACCUGCAGAAGAUUCAUCUUGAAAAAGAAAGACCUGUUUCCAUAAUAGCCUCUGCUUUACAAACGCCUUUUCAAAUGACUUCCAUUUGACUGAGGAAAACCUUUCAGCUUUCAGUUUUUUUCUUCAGGCUUCUGACCUCUCACCUACUUUGAAUGAUUCACUCAGGCUAUUCAUUGCCCUGGAAUGUUGGCUUUGGCAAAGGACUGCAAGUCUCUUAAAAUAAACAUGACUGGGCUUUCAUCUCACAGUGAUCACUGCUGGCUGCAUAUUUCACACACUGUAUGGCAGGAUAUGUUAAAUUAAAAUCAUAAUCUCCCAAGUGCAAUCCAGGGCCUGGUUAAGCCACGCGAGACUUACUCAUGCAUUUACUUCCAAUGAAGUGUCUGAGUAAGAUCUUCAGCCAUUAAGUCUCCCAGGUAAUAGUCUCAUUCCCUCCCAAUUAUCCUAAUCCACAGUAAAUUAAACCCAUCCAGAAGAAUGCCAUUUGGAAAGGAAGAAGUCAAGGCCAACACCCCGUGGCAUAUGUAGGUCCUAGAGAGGUGAGUUUGAACUAUUUUGUCAGUUUUUUCAAAUUUUAACUUAAAUCUUGCUAAGGCAAUAUACCCAACGCGUAUGGAUUAACAAUAUGUUCGGCAUUAUGUUAAAUAUUCUGAGUAGUUAAAAGAAAUAUAUGACACCAAGCCUUCAGGAGCUUAAAGUCUUGUGGAUGAUCACUAAGAUUAACAUGCAAAAAAAAAAAAAAGAGUAACAAAGGCAGGUGCAAGGCAGUAGUAACGUGGAGGAAGCCUUUCUCCAAGUGGAGUCUGGGGCCUGACUUGCCCCAGCUGUGUGAUUGCAGAAUAAAUCUUUGAUUGAUGGAAUAUUUUGGUUUCCAUGCCUGUACAAUGGAGGGUACACUAAACCUCACAGUGGUUGUCAUGAUUCACUAAGAUAAAGAAGAUAAAACUGUAAUGUAUAAUGUCACCUAUUAUGGGCUAUGAUAAAACAAGUUGAAACAACUUAAGAAAUAAGUCCAG